GGCGGGCCUCCCCGCAUUACAAGGUGGUGAACCUGGUCAGAUCCGGAAGGAAGCAGCCAUAACCAUUUAUUGCAAGUGCCGGGGGUAAGGCUCGCCUCC
rnacentral:SRP_RNA from 5 species